GCGGGAUUAGUUAAACGGUUUAACGUUGCCUUCCCAAGGCAGAGAUACGGGUUCGACUCCCGUAUCCCGCUCCA
rnacentral:tRNA from 1 species